rnacentral:lncRNA from 1 species
ACCCAUUUUCCCUAUAGUCUACAAAAUAGGAGACCAGCCCCUUCAAUUGUUUUAUUGCAACAUCAAUUUUCAUAUCUCCAUAUUGCAAUUUUUGGCUAACCAAGUCAAUUUUUUUCAAAAUGUUAUGCCAUAUACUCAUGCCCAACAAAAAUUCAAAAUUUUCAAGUUCAUGUGUAGCUAAAGAUUCAGCUUCACUCUUUGAUGUUGCAUCUUCACUAACCCUAGACAAUUCAAACAGAGCUUC